rnacentral:rRNA from 1 species
UACAGAGGUGGCAAGCGUUGUUCGGAAUCACUGGGCGUAAAGGGCGCGUAGGCGGCCCUCCUUGUCGCGUGUGAAAGCCCCGGGCUCAACCUGGGAACGGCGCGCGAGACGGGGGGGCUGGAGUUCGGGAGAGGAGCGUGGAAUUCCCAGUGUAGAGGUGAAAUUCGUAGAUAUUGGGAAGAACACCGGUGGCGAAGGCGGCGCUCUGGACCGAGACUGACGCUGAGGCGCGAAAGCGUGGGGAGCAAACAGG